GCCAGACUCCUACGGGAGGCAGCAGUGGGGGAUAUUGCACAAUGGGGGGAACCCUGAUGCAGCGACGCCGCGUGGGUGAAGAAGCGCCUCGGCGCGUAAAGCCCUGUCAGCAGGGAAGAAAAUGACGGUACCUGAAGAAGAAGCCCCGGCUAACUACGUGCCAGCAGCCGCGGUAAUACGUAGGGGGCAAGCGUUAUCCGGAUUUACUGGGUGUAAAGGGGGCGCAGACGGCGAUGCAAGCCAGGAGUGAAAGCCCGGGGCCCAACCCCGGGACUGCUCUUGGAACUGCGUGGCUGGAGUGCAGGAGGGGCAGGCGGAAUUCCUGGUGUAGCGGUGAAAUGCGUAGAUAUUAGGAGGAACACCAGUGGCGAAGGCGGCUUUCUGGCUCAUAACUGACGCUGAGGCGCGAAAGCGUGGGGAGCAAACAGGAUUAGAUACCCGGGUA
rnacentral:rRNA from 1 species